AGGACGAACGCUGGCGGCGUGCUUAACACAUGCAAGUCGAGCGGUAAGGCCUUUCGGGGUACACGAGCGGCGAACGGGUGAGUAACACGUGGGUGAUCUGCCCUGCACUCUGGGAUAAGCCUGGGAAACUGGGUCUAAUACCGGAUAUGACCUGCUCUCGCAUGGGGGUGGUGGAAAGAUUUAUCGGUGCAGGAUGGGCCCGCGGCCUAUCAGCUUGUUGGUGGGUAAUGGCCUACCAAGGCGACGACGGGUAGCCGACCUGAGAGGGUGACCGGCCACACCGGGACUGAGACACGGCCCAGACUCCUACGGGAGGCAGCAGUGGGAAUAUGCACAAUGGCAAAGCCUGAUGCAGCGACGCCGCGUGAGGAUGAAGGCCUUCGGGUUGUAAACCUCUUUCAGCAGGACGAAGCGCAAGUGACGGUACCUGCAGAAGAGCACGGCUAACUACGUGCCAGCAGCCGC
rnacentral:rRNA from 1 species